CUCUAACGUAGACCAAGCGGCCUCGGAAAUACUAAGGUGGCAUUCGUUGUGCCGAUUUACUGGGCGUCGAGCGAUCGUAGGCGGUUGGAUAAGCACUCCAUGAAAUCUCCAGACUUAACCUGAAAAGUGCAGAGGUGACUGUUCAGCGAGAGGAUGGGAGAAGAGCGCGGAAUUCCCGGUGUAUCGGUGAAAUGCGUAGAGAUCGGUAGUAAGGCCGGUGGCGAAGGCGGCGCUCUGGAACAUUUCUGACGCUGAGGCUCGAAAGCGUGGGGAGCAAACAGGAUUAGAUAUCCCAGUAGUC
rnacentral:rRNA from 1 species